GUGCCAGCCGCCGCGGUAAUACAGAGGGUGCGAGCGUUGUUCGGAAUUACUGGGCGUAAAGCGCGCGCAGGCGGCCUUUUAAGUCUACCCGUGAAAUGCCGGGGCUCAACUCCGUGCACGCCGGGGGAUACUGGGAGGCUGGAGACAUGUAGAGGCAAGCGGAAUUCCGGGUGUAGCGGUGGAAUGCGUAGAGAUCCGGAAGAACACCUGAGGCGAAGGCGGCUUGCUGGGCAUGAUCUGACGCUGAGGCGCGAAAGCGUGGGGAGCAAACAGGAUUAGAAACCCUAGGAGUAC
rnacentral:rRNA from 1 species